rnacentral:rRNA from 1 species
AACGAACGCUGGCGGCAGGCCUAACACAUGCAAGUCGAACGAGCAGGGGGCUUCGGUCCUCGUUGCUAGUGGCGCACGGGCGAGUAACACGCGGGAAUAUGCCCUUUAUUACGGAAUAACCAAGGGAAACUUUGGCUAAUAUCGUAUACGCUCUUCUGUGGAACGAUUUAUUGCUAUAGGAUUAGCCGGCGUCUGUUUAGGUAGUUGAUGAGGUAAUGGCUCAUCAAGUCGACGAUCAGUAGCCGGUCUGAGAGGAUGAUCAGCCACACCGGCACUGAGACACAGCCCAGACUCCUCCGCGAGGCAGCAGUGGGGAAUAUUGGAAAGUGGCGGCAGUGCUGAUCGUGCCCUGACGCGUGAGUGAAGUUGUCAUGCAGGUUGAAAAGCUCUUUCGACGGGGACGAUGAUGACGGUACCCGUAUAAGAAGCCCCGGCAAACUUCGUG